GAAGGAACAGUCAUAACGGCAGUUAUGUUAUCCUUGCGAUCUUCGCGUUGUUGACAUCCGGAUGAUAAUGCUUCCCGUUUUCCCAGAGUAUAUAUACACUAAUCCCACUAGUUGAUGGUGUUUCGUUGCCAAAAAAAGAAAAGAAUUGGUUGAAGGGCGUGAGCACAGGUGGCGGUCUCUCCUCCAUUUAUGUAAUCGCCCUUGCGAUGUUAAUCUGCUAACGAUCCGGGCCACUCUUUAACUAUUCAUUAAGUCGGUUUCAUUGAUUAAUGAUGCCACUAAAACGAACCUCGAGUAUAAACAAACACUAACUGAAUGUGUCUUUGCUUUUCUCUUUUAUUUUUUUCAUGUCCUCCGCUUACAAUUCGUCCUGGCCUCGGAUUCCAUUUAAUAGGGUUAUACUGUGCUUCAUUGGGGCUCGAAACACGGAAGCGAGAAGAUCAUCAGGAUGUUCGCUGGCAAAUACAAGGCUGAUGUCAACGCG